rnacentral:rRNA from 1 species
UGCCAGCGGCAGCGGUAAUACGGAGGGUCCACGCGUUAUCCGGAUUUAUUGGGUUUAAAGGGUUCGUAGGCGGUAAUAUAAGUCAGUGGUGAAAUCCUGCAGCUCAACUGUAGAACUGCCAUUGAAACUGUAUUACUUGAGUAUACUUGAGGUAGGCGGAAUAUGUAGUGUAGCGGUGAAAUGCUUAGAUAUUACAUAGAACACCGAUUGCGAAGGCAGCUUACUAAGGUAUAACUGACGCUGAUGAACGAAAGCGUGGGGAGCGAACAGGAUUAGAUA